rnacentral:misc_RNA from 1 species
UUAAGUUCAGCGCGUAUUCCUACCUGAUCCGAGGUCAACCUUGAAAAAGUUUCCUUGUGAAAGGAGAGGACCGGGUCCCGGGCGCCCUUGUCCGAUACGUGCUCAGUUAAAAGCUCAGUGUACCGGGGGAACCGCAGGCCGCCGUCAUUGUCUUUGGGAGGGGCAGGAGCCCCCGAGGGGGCCUCCACCAAACCGUCCAA